rnacentral:rRNA from 1 species
GUGUGAAUUGCAGAAUCCCGUGAACCAUCGAGUCUUUGAACGCAAGUUGCGCCCGAAGCCAUUAGGCUGAGGGCACGUCUGCCUGGGUGUCGCAC